UCCACUUCUACUGGCCUCCCAUUUCCCCCCUUGACACAACCAGCCAUCAUAGGUGGACAUCCUUCAGGAAACCCAGGGCCGCCAUAUGGGAGAAUCUCCGGGGAAAAAAAGUGACACAGCAGGAGUAAAGUCCACGCUGCGCAGCUCUGUGAUUCCUGUUUCCCCGAGCAAUCUCCAAAAUUUGUCACCCUUGAAGAUUUUGAUGUUGUGUGCCUUCAUGAGGGAUAACAAAUGUGUUCCACAAAAUCUUCCUCCUAAAACCUCAUCAAGCUGCACCGAGGGGAGGAUAUUUAAUACCUCCUCAAAGAAAAAAAUCCAUCAUCUCAAAGAUAGGUCCUGAUUUUGUGUUGUGCAUUCAGUAAUUCACUUGGUUAAAGAGUUGUUAAGAAGUUGCCUGUACUCAGAUGACGAAUUAAAGACCCUGUGGUAACUUUUUUUCAAAUAAAUUGCAAAUACGUCA